rnacentral:rRNA from 1 species
UUGGGAGUCAGAACAUGGGUGAUAAGGUCCGUGUUCGAAAGGGAAACAGCCCAGACCACCAGCUAAGGUCCCAAAAUAUAUGUUAAGUGGAAAAGGAUGUGGCGUUGCCCAGACAACUAGGAUGUUGGCUUAGAAGCAGCCAUCAUUUAAAGAGUGCGUAAUAGCUCACUAGUCGAGUGACACUGCGCCGAAAAUGUACCGGGGCUAAACAUAUUACCGAAGCUGUGGAUUGUCCUUUGGACAAUGGUAGGAGAGCGUUCUAAGGGCGUUGAAGCAUGAUCGUAAGGACAUGUGGAGCGCUUAGAAGUGAGAAUGCCGGUGUGAGUAGCGAAAGACGGGUGAGAAUCCCGUCCACCGAUUGACUAAGGUUUCCAGAGGAAGGCUCGUCCGCUCUGGGUUAGUCGGGUCCUAAGCUGAGGCCGACAGGCGUAGGCGAUGGAUAACAGGUUGAUAUUCCUGUACCACCUAUAAUCGUUUUAAUCGAUGGGGGGACGCAGUAGGAUAGGCGAAGCGUGCGAUUGGAUUGCACGUCUAAGCAGUAAGGCUGAGUAUUAGGCAAAUCCGGUACUCGUUAAGGCUGAGCUGUGAUGGGGAGAAGACAUUGUGUCUUCGAGUCGUUGAUUUCACACUGCCGAGAAAAGCCUCUAGAUAGAAAAUAGGUGCCCGUACCGCAAACCGACACAGGUAGUCAAGAUGAGAAUUCUAAGGUGAGCGAGCGAACUCUCGUUAAGGAACUCGGCAAAAUGACCCCGUAACUUCGGGAGAAGGGGUGCUCUUUAGGGUUAACGCCCAGAAGAGCCGCAGUGAAUAGGCCCAAGCGACUGUUUAUCAAAAACACAGGUCUCUGCUAAACCGUAAGGUGAUGUAUAGGGGCUGACGCCUGCCCGGUGCUGGAAGGUUAAGAGGAGUGGUUAGCUUCUGCGAAGCUACGAAUCGAAGCCCCAGUAAACGGCGGCCGUAACUAUAACGGUCCUAAGGUAGCGAAAUUCCUUGUCGGGUAAGUUCCGACCCGCACGAAAGGCGUAACGAUUUGGGCACUGUCUCAACGAGAGACUCGGUGAAAUCAUAGUACCUGUGAAGAUGCAGGUUACCCGCGACAGGACGGAAAGACCCCGUGGAGCUUUACUGUAGCCUGAUAUUGAAAUUCGGCACAGCUUGUACAGGAUAGGUAGGAGCCUUUGAAACGUGAGCGCUAGCUUACGUGGAGGCGCUGGUGGGAUACUACCCUAGCUGUGUUGGCUUUCUAACCCGCACCACUUAUCGUGGUGGGAGACAGUGUCA